CUGCUGCCUCCCGUAGGAGUUUGGGCCGUGUCUCAGUCCCAAUGUGGCCGUCCACCCUCUCAGGCCGGCUACUGAUCGUCGCCUUGGUGGGCCGUUACCCCGCCAACAAGCUAAUCAGACACGGGUCCAUCUUACACCACCGGAGUUUUUCACACAAAUCCAUGCGGCUUCGUGCGCUUAUGCGGUAUUAGCACCUAUUUCUAAGUGUUAUCCCCCAGUGUAAGGCAGGUUACCCACGCGUUACUCACCCGUCCGCCGGUCGCCGG
rnacentral:rRNA from 1 species